rnacentral:rRNA from 1 species
UACGUAGGGGGCAAGCGUUAUCCGGAUUUACUGGGUGUAAAGGGAGCGUAGACGGUGUGGCAAGUCUGAUGUGAAAGGCAUGGGCUCAACCUGUGGACUGCAUUGGAAACUGUCAUACUUGAGUGCCGGAGGGGUAAGCGGAAUUCCUAGUGUAGCGGUGAAAUGCGUAGAUAUUAGGAGGAACAUCAGUGGCGAAGGCGGCUUACUGGACGGUAACUGACGUUGAGGCUCGAAAGCGUGGGGAGCAAACAGG